rnacentral:rRNA from 1 species
AUUGAACGCUGGCGGCAGGCCUAACACAUGCAAGUCGAACGAGUGGCGGACGGGUGAGUAAUGUCUGGGAAACUGCCCGUUGGAGGGGGAUAACUACUGGAAACGGUCGCUAAUACCGCAUACCCUCGGAUGUGCCCAGAUGGGAUUAGCUAGUAGGUGGGUUAAUGGCUCACCUAGGCGACGAUCCCUCGCUGGUCCGAGAGGAGGACCGGCCACACUGGAACUGGGACACGGUCCAGACUCCUACGGGAGGCAGCAGUGGGGAAUAUUGCACAAUGGGCGCAGGCCUGAUGAAGCCAUGCCGGGGGUAUGAAGAAGGCCUUCGGGUGGUAAAGUACUUUCAGCGAGGAGGCGUUACUCGCAGAAGAAGCACCGGCUAACUCCGUGCCAGCCGCCGCGGUAAUUC